rnacentral:rRNA from 1 species
GAUGAACGCUGGCGGCGUGCCUAAUACAUGCAAGUCGAGCGAACGGACGAGAAGCUUGCUUCUCUGAUGUUAGCGGCGGACGGGUGAGUAACACGUGGAUAACCUACCUAUAAGACUGGGAUAACUUCGGGAAACCGGAGCUAAUACCGGAUAAUAUUUUGAACCGCAUGGUUCAAAAGUGAAAGACGGUCUUGCUGUCACUUAUAGAUGGAUCCGCGCUGCAUUAGCUAGUUGGUAAGGUAACGGCUUACCAAGGCAACGAUGCAUAGCCGACCUGAGAGGGUGAUCGGCCACACUGGAACUGAGACACGGUCCAGACUCCUACGGGAGGCAGCAGUAGGGAAUCUUCCGCAAUGGGCGAAAGCCUGACGGAGCAACGCCGCGUGAGUGAUGAAGGUCUUCGGAUCGUAAAACUCUGUUAUUAGGGAAGAACAUAUGUGUAAGUAACUGUGCACAUCUUGACGGUACCUAAUCAGAAAGCCACGGCUAACUACGUGCCAGCAGCCGCGGUAAUACGUAGGUGGCAAGCGUUAUCCGGAAUUAUUGGGCGUAAAGCGCGCGUAGGCGGUUUUUUAAGUCUGAUGUGAAAGCCCACGGCUCAACCGUGGAGGGUCAUUGGAAACUGGAAAACUUGAGUGCAGAAGAGGAAAGUGGAAUUCCAUGUGUAGCGGUGAAAUGCGCAGAGAUAUGGAGGAACACCAGUGGCGAAGGCGACUUUCUGGUCUGUAACUGACGCUGAUGUGCGAAAGCGUGGGGAUCAAACAGGAUUAGAUACCCUGGUAGUCCACGCCGUAAACAAUGAGUGCUAAGUGUUAGGGGGUUUCCGCCCCUUAGUGCUGCAGCUAACGCAUUAAGCACUCCGCCUGGGGAGUACGACCGCAAGGUUGAAACUCAAAGGAAUUGACGGGGACCCGCACAAGCGGUGGAGCAUGUGGUUUAAUUCGAAGCAACGCGAAGAACCUUACCAAAUCUUGACAUCCUUUGACAACUCUAGAGAUAGAGCCUUCCCCUUCGGGGGGGCAAAGUGACAGGUGGUGCAUGGUUGUCGUCAGCUCGUGUCGUGAGAUGUUGGGUCAAGUCCCGCAACGAGCGCAACCCUUAAGCUUAGUUGCCAUCAUUAAGUUGGGCACUCUAAGUUGACUGCCGGUGACAAACCGGAGGAAGGUGGGGAUGACGUCAAAUCAUCAUGCCCCUUAUGAUUUGGGCUACACACGUGCUACAAUGGACAAUACAAAGGGCAGCGAAACCGCGAGGUCAAGCAAAUCCCAUAAAGUUGUUCUCAGUUCGGAUUGUAGUCUGCAACUCGACUACAUGAAGCUGGAAUCGCUAGUAAUCGUAGAUCAGCAUGCUACGGUGAAUACGUUCCCGGGUCU